rnacentral:lncRNA from 1 species
CCAGACUGGCCUUGAAUGCUUCUAGGAAGGGGGCACCUGAGGAACACGUAGCCCUCUUGCUGAUGAAUGCAAGAAAUUAUGGACCUCUUGAGAGAGGUCACAACUCCUUAAGCUCACAGCUUUUUUCAAAUCUACAUGGAAUUUCAUAGUAAAAGGGAAAAUCAUUUCUAUGACCUGUUGAAUUUCUCCAAUAAUCAGUGGAGAAUGUUUCCUUCAAUACUGUUCUCUGACAAAUAAGGAAUGUACAGUGCACUGCAUAACAGGUAUAAAAAAGAAGACGAAGUUUUUGAAGGAAAGUACUUGAGGUACUCACUUAGAGAUCUGCUGAUGACUCAUGGAAAACUGAAGAAUUGUUUGACUGCCCUCGAUGACAUGUCCAUGUCAUGCUUAAGGCUCAGAUACUGCAAGAUGUAAAAUAAGAUAAAUAAGCCCUCAAUACUGAAGGCGCCUCUUGGUAGACAACAAGUUGUGGAUUCUGUGUCAAAUGAAAUUGCAUUUAACCUUUUUAGAGCAGAUACUAACUUUAACUUAGUGAUAGCCUAGCUGCAUCAAAAAGAAGAAAACCUGAAUUUACUAUCUGCAAAACAAUAUACAGUUUAAAAAAAUGUGGACUGUACUUGAUUUCAGUCUAUGUUUACAAUGAUGGAAAGAAAAUUACAUUUACUGCUUUUUAGCUUUUCAAAUGUAGGUAAGAUUUAUUUUGGAAUAUCAAAAAUGGUACUUCAAUUCUAUUGUAUGGAAUGGAUGCCACACAAUAAAAUUCAUCUGCUGUUUAACCUUCCA